CUGAGAAGAAGCUGCGCUGGUCUGAGGGCAGGCUGACUGGGGCCGGUAGCGUUUCCGCAGAGCAGCUUCCUGGGGAGUUUUGUCUAAACGUUUGAGGUCAAUGGGCCCAGGCGGUGGCUGGACGUCAGGGCGCUGGAAUGUUGAGGAGCCUCGGAUGCAUCACAGUGCUUUGAAUAGGCUACGAGGGCACUGUUUCCUCCCACAGACUGUAUCUUGAUGAAUUUGCCAGAAAUUGGGCCAAGACUCACAGAGAAGACCGAGGUCCAAUUUGGCGAGUUGGCUGUUAGUGGCUAUGCUUGGUGGUUUGGUUAAGAAGAUGGAGCCAAAACCCAGAGUGAGAAUGAGGUUCCUUUAGAGCUGCCAGAGGCAGACGUAAGGUUCGUCUGAUUCGCCCCACCCUGUGCUCUCUUUACCCUUUGAAACGUUGAUGGCAGGAUUCGGCAGUGGCUUCCCUGUGAUGGAGGGGUCCUGCCUUUCAGUGGUCUGGCUGCGAGUGCGGGACCUCUCAGUUUAUUCAUAAAACAAUUGCUUCUUCCUUUUCACACAUUAGAUUUUUACCGAAGUUUCAGGGGACAGGCAGGAGGUUCCAAAGAGAAGAGACCAACAUGGCCCCCUGCUUACUUACUUAUUCCAGCCUCAGUUUGCUCAUCUCUAACGGAUAAGGAAAUCUCCUUCUCCAGCCCGAGAGACGGGAACGUGUGACUCCUGGAUCCUCCCUUGUCGUCAUGACGAGAUGACAUGUCGGUUUCAUUUCGGACUCUUCUGAAGGAGACUGAGCCAAGCACUUGGGGCCUGGAGGCUGGUGGAAAGGUGAGUGGGGCAACCCUGGCUUCCCUGCGUCUGUAGGACUCAGGGUAGCGUCUUGUGGCCAAGCACGGAGAAGCCCCGGGCAGCCAAGAACAAGCCUCCUGCUCAUCCCGGCCUGGCUCGGCGAGCUCGCGGGGAGGCAGAAGGGCAGCUGGUCCUCGGGGUGUCCCUGGAGAGCUGGCAACACCCCUGUUUCCAUGUGUCCCACCAAGGCUUGGGGCCAAACCUGAGGAGGAAGUGCUUCUCCCCUUUGGGCUGCAGCCCAGCCUGUGGUCAGAGAUACUGCUCCUGGUGUGAAGGACACACAGCUGUGGUUUCUGGACCUGGUGGCCUUGGGAUGAGGGCUGAUGGGAGAGUGGGGGUGCCUGGGCUGGCGGGGUGGGCAGAGCCCCGUGUCUAUCUGGAAGGAGGGCUGUCCCAGCAAGGCAACCCUGGAUUUAAACUCGGGGACCAAGGUCCAGCUGUGGUCACCUGCUUGGGUGUCCUUUCUAGUGAACCCUGCUCUGCCUGCUUGGCCCUUCUCUCUUCAGUUUCCUCAUGUGUGGAGGGGGUUGACAUUGGGAAAGAUUGAAAGCAAAAGGAGAAGCGAGUGGCAGAGCGUGAGAUGCUUAGGUAGCAUCACUAACUCAAUGAAUAUGAAUUUGAACAAACUCCAAGAGACAGUGAAGGAGAGAGGAACCUAGUAUGCUGUAGUCCCUGGGGUCGCAAAGGGUUGGACAUGACUUAGUGACCGAGCAACAGCAACAGCUGAGACAGUGAACUGAGCCUGGUGAGCGUGUGGGUCCUGGGUGUGGACUGAGCCCCUCACUGCCUGACCCCACUGAAACAAGGAACUGGGGGAAAAUUUGUGAAAUUAUCUGGCACCGAGCAAGUGCUCAAUGAAAGUAAAUUAAUUUUUUUGACUUUGCCAAUGCCCAGUGUUGAUAUGAGUUCUUCUAGAAAUUCAGUUCUGAAUUCCUAAUAAAUAGUAUGUUUAUCAUCUUUAUCUAUUGUAUUGUAUUGCAUUGUUCUGUUGCCCAGUUGUGUCCAACUCUGCAACCCCGUGGACUGCAGCAUGCCAGGCUUCCCUGUCCCCCACUAUCUCCUGGAGUUUGCCCAAGUUCAUGUCCAUUGCAUCGGUGAUGCCAUCCAGCCAUCUCACCUGUCAUAUUAUUUGUAAAUUACUAACAACUGGUUCUUCCUUGAGAACCCCUGCCUGCGCUCUGCCCAGACACAGAGCUGGAGCCGGCACAACUUUGUGCUCCUCCUGAUUGCAGAGCGUGGUUUUAUUUUUCCAGGAAUGUCUUGCUCAAGCAAAUGGCCUGACUGUUCCUCCCAGGAACUUCUGUGGAAGCAUCCACACUCACACCGAGAGUCAAACAUUGCUUACUGAAAAGGCUGGUUGGUUCUCUGGGCUGUGCAGUCAGGGUCCUCACUGGCCCUGCUCCCCCAUCCUCAGCUCCGGCCUGUCAGCUGGUCGAGUCUGUGGCGUUUGGAGCAGGUUUGAUGUACUCUCCACAUGCUGGAUGGUUCAGAGAAGUUGCAAGAUCUAGAAUUUGAAAAAAUGUCUGCAUUUUGCGUUUUACGUCUUAAACUAUUGUUGCAGUUCUGGAU
ensembl:lncRNA